rnacentral:rRNA from 1 species
UACGUAGGUGGCAAGCGUUGUCCGGAAUUAUUGGGCGUAAAGCGCGCGCAGGCGGUCCUUUAAGUCUGAUGUGAAAGCCCACGGCUCAACCGUGGAGGGUCAUUGGAAACUGGGGGACUUGAGUGCAGAAGAGGAAAGCGGAAUUCCACGUGUAGCGGUGAAAUGCGUAGAGAUGUGGAGGAACACCAGUGGCGAAGGCGGCUUUCUGGUCUGUAACUGACGCUGAGGCGCGAAAGCUAGGGGAGCAAACAGG